rnacentral:rRNA from 1 species
UACGUAGGGGGCAGGCGUUGUCCGGAAUCAUUGGGCGUUAAAGGAGCGUGUAGGUCGGCCCGAUAAGUCCGUCUGUGAAAGUCCAGGGCUCAACCCUGGAAUGCCGGUGGAUACUGUCGGGCUCGAAUCCGGAAGAGGUGAGUGGAAUUCCUGGUGUAGCGGUGAAUGACGCAGAUAUCAGGAGGAACACCAAUGGCGAAGGCAGCUCACUGGGACGGUAUUGACGCUGAGACGCGAAAGCGUGGGGAGCGAAACAGG